GAUGAACGCUGGCGGCGUGCCUAAUACAUGCAAGUCGAGCGAACAGACGAGGAGCUUGCUCCUCUGACGUUAGCGGCGGACGGGUGAGUAACACGUGGAUAACCUACCUAUAAGACUGGGAUAACUUCGGGAAACCGGAGCUAAUACCGGAUAAUAUAUUGAACCGCAUGGUUCAAUAGUGAAAGACGGUUUUGCUGUCACUUAUAGAUGGAUCCGCGCGGCAUUAGCUAGUUGGUAAGGUAACGGCUUACCAAGGCGACGCUGCGUAGCCGACCUGAGAGGUUGAUCGGCCACACUGGAACGGAGACACGGUCCAGACUCCUACGGGAGGCAGCAGUAGGGAAUCUUCCGCAAUGGGCGAAAGCCUGACGGAGCAACGCCGCGUGAGUGAUGAAGGUCUUCGGAUCGUAAAACUCUGUUAUUAGGGAAGAACAAAUGUGUAAGUAACUAUGCACGUCUUGACGGUACCUAAUCAGAAAGCCACGGCUAACUACGUGCCAGCAGCCGCAGUAA
rnacentral:rRNA from 1 species